rnacentral:rRNA from 1 species
AUUGAACGCUGGCGGCAGGCCUAACACAUGCAAGUCGAGCGAGAGGCGGACGGGUGAGUAAUGUAUGGGGCUCUUCCCGCUAGACGGGCAUAACUCCUGGCAACUUUGGCUCAUACCGCAUACUCUCGUUUGACCCCAUCUGGGUUUAGCUCGUGGGUGGGGUAAAGGCUCACCUAGGCGACGAUCUCUAGCUGGUCUGAGAGGAUGAUCAGCCACACUGGGACUGAGACACGGCCCAGACUCCUACGGGAGGCAGCAGUGGGGAAUAUUGCACAAUGGGCGCAAGCCUGAUACAGCCAUGCCGCGUGUAUGAAGAAGGCCUUAGGGUUGUAAAGGACUGUCAGCGGGGAAGCGGUACCCGCAGAAGAAGCACCGGCUAACUCCGUGCCAGCAGCCGCGGUAAUAC